UUAAAACCCAAAGGACUUGGCGGUGCUUUAGAUCCACCUAGAGGAGCCUGUUCUAGAACCGAUAAUCCCCGUUAAACCUCACCUUUUCUUGUCUUAUCCGCCUAUAUACCGCCGUCGUCAGCUUACCCUGUGAAGACCCUAUAGUAAGCAAAAUCGGCACAGCCUAAAACGCCAGGUCGAGGUGUAGCGAAUGAAAAGGGAAGAAAUGGGCUACAUUCAAUAACCUUUAAUGAACACGAAUGGUAUUCUGAAAUGUAUACCUGAAGGAGGAUUUAGUAGUAAGCGGAGAAUAGAGUGCUCCACUGAAACUGGCCCUGAAGCGCGUACACACCGCCCGUCACUCUCCCCGAAAUAAACACAUAUCUAUUUCUAAUAAGCUAAAAACAAGAAGGGGAGGCAAGUCGUAACAUGGUAAGUGUACCGGAAGGUGCACUUGGAUAAAC
rnacentral:rRNA from 1 species